GACGGAGAGUGCAAACGUUGUUCGGAUUUACUGGGCGUAGAGGGCACGUAGGCGGCCAGGCAAAUCAGUUGUGGAAUCCCGACGCCUACCGUCGGAACGGCAAUUGAAAAUACCUGGCUCGAGGGCAUGAGGGGUCGCGGGAACUCUUGGUGGAGCGGUGAAAUGCGUAGAUAUCAAGAGGAACGCCGGAGGCGAAAGCGCGCGACUGGCAUGUCCCUGACGCUGAGGUGCGAAAGCCGGGGGAGCAAACAGG
rnacentral:rRNA from 1 species